AUUGAAAUGAGUGCAAAAAUCUGACCGUCACUGACAAUGCUAACAUGCUAACAUCUUUAGCAGGCUCUUGAGGCUGAUGUACAGGGAGCUGACCAUGGUGGCUUCGUCCUGGAUGGACUCCCUCAUGUCGGACUCACCCCCACACAUCAGGGCCACCAGCCCCCUCGGCAGCUUCCAGCUGAACAGCAGUGUUUUUCAGAUGAAGAUUUCACCUGACAAGAGGGAGAAUCAAAUCUGGAUUCCCAAAUUACCCAGG